ACCCUUAGAUGUUCUGGGCCGCACGCGCGCUACACUGAUGCAUUCAACGAGUCUAAAACCUGCUCUGAUAGGGGUGGGUAAUCUUUUGAAUGUGCAUCGUGAUUGGGAUAGAUGAUUGCAAUUUUUCAUCUUCAACGAGGAAUGCCUAGUAAACGCAAGUCAUCAGCUUGCAUUGAUUACGUCCCUGCCCUUUGUACACACCGCCCGUCGCUCCUACCGAUUGAAUGAUCCGAUGAAUAUCAUGGAUUGAGGAUGCAAGUAGGUUCGCCUAUCUUCAUCUUCGAGAAGUGAAGUAAAUCUUAUCAUUUAGAGGAUGGAGAAGUCGUAACA
rnacentral:rRNA from 1 species